ACUUCCUUCAGGAGUAAAACCGGGGUGGGAGAUUGCAACCUUCACGUGGUCCACCCUGUUUCGACAAAUGCAAUCAACCCGGUGUGCACAGUCAAAUAAGAUCAAAUAGAACACGUUGUCCUACAACUUUAGGCUGUGCACGCCAUACGCAAGAAGAAGAAGGGUCCCAGAAGAUUCCCUCUGGCGAUGGCAAUAUUAAGUUGACAGAAUAAUAAUUAUUAGAAUACCUGAAGAGCAGUGGAUAUAGCCUAAAUGCGAGACUCUUAUAUGUGCUUGAUGAUCAGCUUUGGCGUCGUUUAGGGUGAGUCAGAAAAUGAGAUUGAUCAGACAAACAAUACCAGAUUGAUUAAUUUAUGUAGUUGAAUAAGUAGUUACAUUAUGUUUAAUUGUAAGCAUUGUGGGAAAAUUUCAGGGCUGUAAUCCCUAAAUUAUGUGCAUUAAUAUAAAGAACAUUAUGCAUAAGAAUAUUUGAUGAAAUUGAGAAUACCGGUGUAUUUUAGUAUAUAAAAUGUAACAAAUUAGUUAAAUUGAUAUUAAUUUAAUUAUACACCAGAUAAAAUUGAAUAUUACCAGUGUAUUGCCACUAAUGAAAUGUGUUUUUGUAUGCUCAGUACUGUAAUGGAUCAAACACACUCACCAGUUUUAAACAAAGCAAAAUCCACAAAACAACAAUAAAAUAAAAAAACACCAAUAUUUUGUUGAAAUGUGCAUGCUUCAUUUUGCACACACUAAGAAUGACAAUCGUGGCCUCUAUUUAAUGUCAACAAAAAACCUUCUCCAACAAUGCAACGGUGUCUGAGUGAUCUACUGAAGUUUCACUGAGAUAAUAUUCCCAAAUCUGGAAUGGUGCUUGAAUCCAAAACUUUGAAAAUAAACAAUAGGGUGCUAUCACUAACCCAUUAGUAACCCAUUACAAAAUGAUGGAUGAAUUAAAAGGUACAUAUAUAAUAGAUAUAUACUUCUGGUGAAGGUACCCCUAAAGUAUUGCUUGGUUGGGAUUUCCGGAGCUCGACCGAAAGACAAUCAAGAACAAUAAUAAGUGUUGAUGGUGCAUGACUUGAAGAGGAACCUGAAGCUGGCAGUGUUCCCAUAUAGUUAUUGCCCUUAAUCAUUUUGUGGUGAAGGUUGCAAGGAAUGGAGGGAUACAGAUCCCAUGUAGCAAUAUGAGAUUACUUUAACUUGGCGUAGUGUUCAGCACGAACAUUGUGGACCAAAGGGCCUUUUCCAAUGCUGUACUGCUCUAUGUGUUUUCCUAAGGCAGUGUAUACCGAUAGCACUUUCCUUCUAUCAUAAGGUUAUGGGUAUGUAUGUUCACUGAUGAUUGACCAAUGUAUAAUUACAUUUGAAAUUCCUCAACCAAUGACCAUUGUUUCCCACCACAAAGCCCAUUUUGG